AGUCUGACCAGCCAUGCCGCGUGGAGGAUUAAGGCCCUCUGGGUUGUAAACUCCUUUUAUCUGGGAAGAAAUGCAUUUUUUCUUAAUGGCUUGACGGUACCAGAGGAAUAAGCACCGGCUAACUCCGUGCCAGCAGCCGCGGUAAUACGGAGGGUGCAAGCGUUAUCCGGAUUCACUGGGUUUAAAGGGUGCGUAGGCGGGCAGGUAAGUCCGUGGUGAAAUCUCUGAGCUUAACUCAGAAACUGCCAUGGAUACUAUUUGUCUUGAAUGUUGUGGAGGUAAGCGGAAUAUGUCAUGUAGCGGUGAAAUGCUUAGAUAUGACAUAGAACACCAAUUGCGAAGGCAGCUUACUACACAAUUAUUGACGCUGAGGCACGAAAGCGUGGGGAUCAAACAGGAUUAGAUACCCUGGUAGUCCACGCCCUAAACGAUGAUUACUCGACAUCAGCGAUACACUGUUGGUGUCUGAGCGAAAGCAUUAAGUAAUCCACCUGGGAAGUACGAUCGCAAGAUUGAAACUCAAAGAAAA
rnacentral:rRNA from 1 species